rnacentral:lncRNA from 1 species
AAGUCUUGCAGAUGCACUCGACGUCCUGGCAGAUGCUCGAUCAGAAUAAUUUCAUCCUCUGAGCAAACUGAGGAUAGAUUACGGUAAUAUGAAGUCGAACAAGAAAUUGUAUAUUAUAUUUCACGAUACGUAAUAGUAGGAAGAAUAAAUAUUUUCGAGUAUUCAGUUUGGUUAAGACGAGUAAUCGAUUCAAAUUUAUGUUUUAAUGCACCGUUUUAAUUAACCGUCUUUAUUGCAUCGUAUAAACGUGGUAAUGUAUAAACGAGGUUUGUCUUAUGAAAUUAAUCGUGUUGAUUACAAAAGUAGAACAAAUAUCCUUUUUUUUAAUAUACAGGAUAUAGGCUAAUCGCUGCGCGAUAUUGUUUUAAAUAUUGUUGGAAUUUUAACUGUUAUUCGUUGAGAAGUAUAUUCUCGUAAAACAUUCCGCUAAAGCGUAAAAAAUAAAAUCGAUCAAAAAUUAAAUAUUAUAACAUAAUUUUAUAUAAAUAAUCGCCUUGCUUACGCUUACAGCUGUUGAUAUCAAUUUUAUUUAAAAAAACAAGCGUAAAAUUAAUAUACGCAAAAUAAUAGAAUAUAAUUAUUUUGAAAUUUCAAUUAAAUGUCACAGUUCAGGAUAUCUCGCGAGUAAAAUAUUCUUUUGACGUUACGUAAUUUCAAAUUACAUGAUAUUUAUUUCCGCAUUGCUAUGAAAGAGGAACGGACAAACGUGAAGCGGUGGUGCGUGAAAGCUUCACUUUCAUAGGAACUUAUCGUCAACAAGGACAAUGACCUUUAGUCAUGCGAAUCGUUUACGAGACAACGUGACAUUAAUAUAACGAAUAGACCAACUUGGUCGUAAACAUCCAACAUUAAAUUAGAGAGACAACAAGCGAUCCUGAUUGUUGAAUUAAUAUUGAUCGUGAUGGAUUAAUUUCUCAUGUGCGAGACACGCUAAAAAGUGUAGGGAACUAUUUUAACGACUUCAAAAACUAUGAAGUAACCAAUUAGAGUACAUACUAGUUAAAAACUUCCGGUAGAAGGAGAAAAUCUGUCAAAAAGUUUGUCAUGCUACUGCGUGACUAUAAAUUGCUCGUUAAUUUGCAUGAGGUCAUUGAAUUCUCUUUUAUUGGAACUUUGUUCAACGAAUAGGUAAGUAUCUAUGUAUUCAAUUUCACUUGAAAUUGGCUAAUACUUACUUUAGCAUAUUUCAGUCAUGAAUUAUGCACAUGAUGAAUAAAACUUCAAAAUGAAUUAUAAGCAGGUAAAGCAUCGUUACCCUCACCGGUGUGUUAAGAUAAUUUCAAGUUGGAAAAUUCUAUAAUCAGUGAAAUCGUUUCAAGCGUAUGUAUUAAUUAAAAAAACAAACGAUACAUUACUGUUUAUAAGAAUAAAAAAGUAAAAUAUAAUAACACGUUAGAAAGAACCUUUGACAAAAUUAUAAAGCGCAAGAAAUAACAAACUGCUUGUUUAAACGCGAUUCUUUUUAUUUUACCUUCUGUCGUACAGCGUAUGAAUGUAAAAGAUCCUUUCCUUUUCCAAUACAUUCGUCAUAUUUCCUCGAUCAAGCCAUCUAUGUCUAAACCUAACGUAUUUAUAUAGAAUUUUCAACGCAUAAUUCCUUUUUAUGUAUUUCAGCAAAUAGUGACUUCUCGCUUAUACAAACUUUUCAUGCAUCGCGUAAUGUAAAGAUUUGCUACGUACACCUUGAAUAUUUUUAGCCAGUGGUGGUAGUGUUAAAUCGAUAGGGAACCGAGUUCCUAUGGUGAAAAUAAUGUAAAUUGAUUCUGAUUAGUCUUCCAGGCUUUACCAGUUCGAUUCCGCUAGAGACCAUGCCUUUACAACCCCUUCCGAUGCGCACUGUUACGAAUUAUUGCUGGUCACGUAUCUAGUUAUACUCUCACCUGUUAUCCAACUCCAAUUUAUCGUGCAAUACACCGAACUUUAUUGCGAGAGCUUCAAUUACGUUCUCUAAUCGGCUCAUUAUCCUGAACGGAAUGUUUUGCUUUAAUUAAUAGCUCGUGGAUAUUUGUUCAGCCAUUUCUAACUUAAAGGAAAUGAUCUGAUACCAUGUUACCGCUAUGUACUUGAUAUCAUAUGUAUUUCGAAAUAACCAAUCACUUUGAUUAAUUAUUUUUAUCUUAACUAUUAAUUGGUAUUACGAGUGAGAAUUCAGGAAGCGAAUUAAAAUUGAAGAUUAUGUUUUAAAGUUUAUUUUUAUUUUCGUGAUGUAUCACUGAUGUACCAUUAUUAAAUUU